GAUAGCCUCUCUGACCUGGAUCAGGGCAUCACUGAGCACCUAGGCAGUCUGUGGCACUACUGCACUGAUACAGAAUGUCCCAGAGGUUCUCAGGUGGAUUCAGGUCUAGGGAACAUGAGUGCCAGUCAAUGGUAUCAAUGGCUUUGUCAUCCAGGAACUGCCUACAUACUCUGGCCACACGAGCAUUAUUCAACCCCAGAAGGAAUCCAGGGCCCACUGCACCAGCAUAAGAUCUGAUAAUGACUCUGAGGACUUCAUAAUACUAGUUACAGCAGCCAGGGUACCAUUGACUAUCAUAUGGAGGUUUGUCUAAUCCACCAAGGAUAUGCCUCCCCAGACCAUCACUGACCCACCGCCAAACCACUCAUGUUGGAUGAUGUUGCAGGCAAUAAGAUUCACCAAGGCGUCACCAGACUCUUUGAUAUCUGACACGAGCUCAGUGUGAACCUGCUCCCAUCUGUGAAGAGAGAACGGGACAGCAACGGGAGACCUACCAAUUCUGGUGUUCUCUGAUGAUUGGCAAUCGGCUGCACAGGAUGUUGGGCCAGGGGUAUACACAGACCGCAUAGGGCCCCCAAAUCCACCCAGUUUCCCAACAUGCACGCAUCAAUCAGUUAGUCGUAAUGCAUGUAAUCCAUGUAAUGCAGAAUGCCAAGCACGACUCCUCAGAUGUCUGACGACUUAAUUUUUUUUUUUAACAGGAAGAAACUUUAAUAAAAAAAUGUAAGGAAAAAAAAGCUCUAGGCCUCGCCAUUUUGGCUACUUUCACACUAGCGUU